UACGGGGGGAGCAAGCGUUGUUCGGAUUUAUUGGGCGUAAAGAGCUCGUAGGCGGUUUGGUAAGUUGGAUGUGAAAUCUCCAGGCUCAACUUGGAGGGGUCAUUCGAUACUGCCAUGACUAGAGUUCGGUAGGGGAGUGUGGAAUUCCUGGUGGAGCGGUGAAAUGCGCAGAUAUCAGGAGGAACACCGGUGGCGAAGGCGGGUCUCUGGGCCGAUACUGACGCUGAGGAGCGAAAGCGUGGGGAGCGAACAGG
rnacentral:rRNA from 1 species